CCGGCACGGGUGAGUAACACGUAUCCAACCUGCCGUCUACUCUUGGACAGCCUUCUGAAAGGAGGAUUAAUACAAGAUGGCAUCAUGAGUUCACAUGUUCACAUGAUUAAAGGUAUUCCGGUAGACGAUGGGGAUGCGUUCCAUUAGAUAGUAGGCGGGGUAACGGCCCACCUAGUCUUCGAUGGAUAGGGGUUCUGAGAGGAAGGUCCCCCACAUUGGAACUGAGACACGGUCCAA
rnacentral:rRNA from 1 species